UACGUAGGUGACAAGCGUUAUCCGGAAUCACUGGGCGUAAAGCGCACGUAGGCGGCUUCUUAAGUCAGGGGUGAAAUCCUGGAGCUCAACUCCAGAACUGCCUUUGAUACUGAGGAGCUCGAGUCCGGAAGAGGUGAGUGGAACUCCGAGUGUAGAGGUGAAAUUCGUAGAUAUUCGGAAGAACACCAGUGGCGAAGGCGGCUCACUGGUCCGGUACUGACGCUGAGGUGCGAAAGCGUGGGGAGCAAACAGG
rnacentral:rRNA from 1 species